ensembl:lncRNA
AUGAAAAAUAUUUAUGAUGAUUUAAAUUUUCCUUACAACAAAUCAAAUUCUGAUUCUAUUUCUAGUUACAAUUCUGGUUAUAGUUACAAUUCUGGUUAUAAUUACAAUUCUAGUUAUAAUUACAAUUCUGGUAAUAGUUACAAUUCUGGUAAUAGUUAUAGUUCUGGUAAUAGUUAUAGUUCUAGUAAUAGUUAUAAUUCUGGUCAUAGUUAUAAUUCUGGUCAUAGUUCUGGUUCUGGUCAUAGUUCUGAUUCUGAUCAUAGUUCUGGUUCCAGUUCUAGUUCUGACUCCAGUUGUGAUUCCAAUUAUGUUUCUGAUUUUGAUUCAGAUAAUGAUAAUGAUAAUAAUAAUGAUAAUGAUAAUGACAAGGGUAAUGACAACAAUAAUGAUAAUAGAAACAGUAAUAAUAUUGGUAAUGACAAUAGUUAUAACAAGGAUAAUAACAAGAAUAAUGAAAAUAGCACAAACAAUGGUACCGACAAUGGCACAUAUCUUGAUACUUAUCCUAACACUGGUCGCGGCAGUUGUAUCAUAAAUUGCACCUACAAUUGUACCAGUAAUGGUACUGAUCAUGGUACUUAUCCUGUCACUGAUCUUGGAACUGAUAUUGAUACUGAUAUUGGUACUGAUCUUAGCACUUAUCAUGACACUGAUCCCGACAUUGAUUCAAGCACUGAUACUGACACUGAUACUGACACUGACUCUGACACUGAUCUUGCUACUAAUCCUGACACAUAUCUUAAUACUUAUCAUGGUACUGAUCUUGGCACUUAUCUUAGCAAUUAUCUUACCACUUACCUUGGAAAUGAUCUUGGAACUAUUGUUGGAACUGUUCUUGGCACUGUUCUUAGUACUGAUCCUGACACUGAUAUUGGUACUAUUGUUGGCACUGUUGUUGGAAUUUAUCUUAACACUAAUUUUGAAAAUGAUCCAAACACUGAUCCUGACAUUUUUCAUGGCACUUAUUUUGGAACUGAUACUAAUAUAGAUAUAGAUCCUAACACUGAUCUUGUUACUAUUAUUAGCAGUGUUCUUAGUACAAUUCUUAGGAAUGAUCCUAACGUUGAUCUUGGUGCUGUUUUUGGAACUUAUUUUAACAAUUAUCCUGACACUGAUCCUGACACUGAUCCUGACACUGAUCCUGACACUGAUCCUGACAUUUAUCUUGAUACUUAUUUUGGCACUUAUUCUAGUACAAAUUGUGGCACAUAUUCUGGUACAAAUAGUGACAUUUAUUCUGUUACUUAUUCUGAUAUUGAUCUCAUCACCGAACUUAGCACUGAUCCUGGUAAUGAUCUUGUUACAGAAUCUGGUACUGCUCCUGACACAGAUCCUGGUACAGAUCUUGUCUCAGAACUUGGUAGUGAUCUUGUCACAGAACCUGGUACUGCUCCUGACACAGAUCCUGGUACUGAUCUUGUCACAGAACCUGGUACUGACACAUACAUGAAUCCUGGCCUUAAUGCUAAUCCUGAUACUGCUCCUGACACAGAUCCUGGUACUGAUUUUGUCACAGAACCUAAUAUUGAUCUUGGCCCUAACGCUGAUUUAGCUCCUGCCAAUGACACUGAUCCUACUCCUGCUCCUACUCCUGCUCCUACUCCUGCUCCUACUCCUACUCCUACUCCUACUCCUACUCCUGAUCCUGCUCCUACUCCUGAUCCUGCUCCUAUUCCUGAUCCUGCUCCUACUCCUGCUCCUACUUUUGAUCCUGCUCCUACUCCUACUCCUGAUCCUGCUCCUGCUCCUACUCCGGACACUAAUCCUACUCCUAACACUAAUCCUACUACGGACACUAAUCCUACUCCGGACACUAAUCCUACUCCUAACACUAAUCCUACUCCUAACACUAAUCCUACUUCUUACACUAAUCCUGGUACGAGUUAUAAUUUGCCUAAAGGUAAUGAUUCUGUUACUGCUGCUGGCUUUUGUACUGACACUACUAUUGGUACUGGUUCUGAUAGUGGUACUAAUUCAAGCUCUGAUAGAGAAAUAGUUUUAAGUGACUUUUCAUCAAAAUAUGAAAAUGCUAAUUUGCAAGAUUUCCUUCAAUCAUAUGCCUUUCGUGAAAAAAACUGAACAAAAAACAAACACCACAUGAUUUUAAUAAAAACAAUAAUGUGUCGCCUAACUGAGUUGUG